rnacentral:hammerhead_ribozyme from 1 species
ACUCAGCUGACGAGUCGUAAAUAGGACGAAACACGAGUCGUGCAU